rnacentral:rRNA from 1 species
CCUACGGGGGGCAGCAGUGGGGAAUAUUGGACAAUGGGGGGAACCCGGAUCCAGCCAUGCCGCGUGUGUGAAGAAGGCCCUCGGGUUGUAAAGCACUUUCAGUGAGGAAGAACGCCUGGUGGUUAAUACCCAUCAGGAAAGACAUCACUCACAGAAGAAGCACCGGCUAACUCCGUGCCAGCAGCCGCGGUAAUACGGAGGGUGCGAGCGUUAAUCGGAAUUACUGGGCGUAAAGCGCGCGUAGGUGGCUUGAUAAGCCGGUUGUGAAAGCCCCGGGCUCAACCUGGGAACGGCAUCCGGAACUGUCAAGCUAGAGUGCAGGAGAGGACGGUAGAAUUCCCGGUGUAGCGGUGAAAUGCGUAGAGAUCGGGAGGAAUACCAGUGGCGAAGGCGGCCUUCUGGACUGACACUGACACUGAGGUGCGAAAGCGUGGGUAGCAAACAGGAUUAGAUACCCCUGUAGUC